rnacentral:lncRNA from 1 species
CACUAGGUCCAGCUUACACUCAAGGGGAAGGAAUUGCACAAAAGCAUGGAUAUCAACGGUAGUCUUCAAGCCAGAAGAAAUUCGAUUCUGUAGGCCAGAGUGGCACUCAGGGAGAGGUCGGAGCUCAGGUUUGAGGGAAGUGAAAACUUUCUUAACAUACUCACUCCAGGCAAGGGGGAUUGGUCACGGGAAAACUUGUGGCUACCUACAGCCUCUGAGAGGAGCUGAUAUAUAAAUAAAUGUACGAAAACUCCAAAGUCAAGUUCUGUAUAAGGAAGUCUGGAACAGUCCUCCUCUUGCCUUACUGAGGAAUGGCCUUGGCUACAGUGCAAAGAUGGAGAGGAGAGGAGGGCGCGCAGAAAAGCAAAAAUUGGAGAAAAAUGAAUUCCAAAGCAAUCCACCAGGACCAGCAGAAUGGCCCACUGCACCUCCUGCCACAGUCUACACUGCAGCUAUCUGCCUCUAACAGAAACCACCCCCCAGUACCCUCUCCAUUACAGGCACAUGUCGUUAGAGCUCCACCACACCACUCGCUGAACACUCUUCCAUGACCUCCACCGAAUGGAUGGUGCCCACCCACAUCGGGGAGCAGAGGGUUAUCUGCUCUUCUCAGUCCACCAGUUCAAAUGCUAAUCUCUUCUGGAAACACCCUCACAGACAUACCUAGAAACAAUGUUCGACCAGCUAUCUGGGCCUCCCUUGGCCCAGUCAAGUUGACAUCCGAAAUUAACCAUCACAAUGGCUCUGCCUUUGCUGAUUACCUUGUGACACAGGAAAAGCAGUGAUAAAGCACUUUAAUUGAUGACACCCCCAUGAUAUUCAUUACACCUGCUAUAAAGUAAU